ensembl:snoRNA
AUGGCCCUGAAUCAAGGCUGGCAAUUUUCUGAAGCUGUUGGUUUCAAAUUGAAGCCUAAAGUGGUAUCUAGCUAUGGUCUGUUGGCCAUUUCAGAAUUUUAGAAAUGUGAUGAUCAAUUCAUUAGAAACAACU